rnacentral:rRNA from 1 species
GAUGAACGCUGGCGGCGUGCUUAACACAUGCAAGUCGAGCGAAGCAAUUUAAGUGAAGUUUUCGGAUGGAUCUUAAAUUGACUGAGCGGCGGACGGGUGAGUAACGCGUGGAUAACCUGCCUAACACAGGGGGAUAACAGUUAGAAAUGACUGCUAAUACCGCAUAAGCGCACGGUACCGCAUGGUACAGUGUGAAAAACUCCGGUGGUGUGAGAUGGAUCCGCGUCUGAUUAGGUAGUUGGUGAGGUAACGGCCCACCAAGCCGACGAUCAGUAGCCGACCUGAGAGGGUGACCGGCCACAUUGGGACUGAGACACGGCCCAAACUCCUACGGGAGGCAGCAGUGGGGAAUAUUGCACAAUGGGCGAAAGCCUGAUGCAGCAACGCCGCGUGAGUGAAGAAGUAUCUCGGUAUGUAAAGCUCUAUCAGCAGGGAAGAAAAUGACG